rnacentral:lncRNA from 1 species
UUAAUGCUCUCUUCUUCUUUUUUGCAUGAUUCACAAUAAAGAUACCAAUGGAGUUUUCUCCUGAUUCAGAGCUUAGCUCUUCCAGAAAAAUGGGAAAUCAAAAGCAUUGUCAAGGUAAUAGUAAGUAUAUAUGGCUAUAUUAUAUAACGUAUAUUGGAUGUAGAUUACUUCUUUCUCUUUCUUUGACAAAAAGGAUUUGACUAUUUACAAAUAUGUGUUUCUUUCAUUGGUUUAUGCUUAAGAAGACCAAGGGACAACAGAUUUAGAUGUGUAUACAGAGAUUCCAAACACCAGACCUUAACUCGAUUUGAAAUACUAACGUGAGUAUUUGACAAUUUUUUCAGCUUACCAGAAUUUGUUUUGGUGUUUUAAAGCUUCCUCUCCAAAAAAUUAGGUUUAUAAUGGUUAUAGAGAAAAAGAAAACCUGGGCCAUAUUACCA